AGUGAACGCUGGCGGUAGGCCUAACACAUGCAAGUCGGACGGCAGCACAGUAAGAGCUUGCUCUUACGGGUGGCGAGUGGCGGACGGGUGAGGAAUACAUCGGAAUCUACUUUUUCGUGGGGGAUGACGUAGGGAAACUUACGCUAAUACCGCAUACGACCUACGGGUGAAAGCAGGGGAUCUUCGGACCUUGCGCGAUUGAAUGAGCCGAUGUCGGAUUAGCUAGUUGGCGGGGUAAAGGCCCACCAAGGCGACGAUCCGUAGCUGGUCUGAGAGGAUGAUCAGCCACACUGGAACUGAGACACGGUCCAGAUUCCUACGGGAGGCAGCAGUGGGGAAUAUUGGACAAUGGGCGCAAGCCUGAUCCAGCCAUACCGCGUGGGUGAAGAAGGCCUUCGGGUUGUAAAGCCCUUUUGUUGGGAAAGAAAAGCAGCAGGUUAAUACCCCGCUGUUCUGACGGUACCCAAAGAAUAAGCACCGGCUAACUUCGUG
rnacentral:rRNA from 1 species